GUUGGUGAACCAGCGGAGGGAUCAUUACCGAGUUUACAACUCCCAACCCGUGUGAACAUACCCAAGUUGCUUCGGCGGCUGCCCCGGCGCACCCGUGCCCGGAACCAGGCGACCGCCUAUAACCACUGUUUCAGUCCACUGUAUAUCUUCUGAGUCAAAAAACAAAUAAAUCAAAACUUUCAACAACGGAUCUCUUGGUUCUG
rnacentral:misc_RNA from 1 species